ACGUAAACUCAAUCAAUUCAGGUUGAAUGUGUGUGUGUGUAUAUACAUAUAUAUUUUUACGUUUAGAUGAAAUAUCGACUUUACUAAAUGUGAUAAGUUGCUAUGCAAUUCAGGUUAAAAUGCUUUUAGCAUUAUUCCUCAAUAAGUAUUUGAAAUAUUGACUGGUAAAAAGGACAACUCACACUUUGUUUAUGCAUAUCUAGAGAUUUAUCAGAAUUGUAAGAUUUGCUAUGUUAAGAACAUAUCAUGCAUUAUCGUUAUUCGAGAAUUACUCAGAAAUUAUUUUUAAGUGAUCUUAAUUAAAAUUUAUUUAAGCAAAUGAUAAUUUUUCGAUUUAAUUAUGAACACAAGCAAAAUUUCUAAUUUGAGGUUUUUUAAAUUCAUUCCAUUAUUAUAGAUGCAAUAAAUCUUGAAAAAAAGUGUUCACUAUCACACACAAAGCAUAAUAAUAAUUUAUUUUCUCUUACUAGUUUUAAAUAUUUUUAUAAUAUUGGUGGUGACUGAAAAUCGAAUAAUUUUGUGCCAGAAUUUACUUAAGUUAACUGAAAGCUGGAGCCUUAUUUAAUUAAAAAUAUUUAGCUGUCAUGCAUUUGGAUACUACACAUAUCUUCCUGUAUUGUGAGGAAAAUGCUGCUCAAGCCCUGCCUUUUUACCAUGCAUUUCCAUCACUUUGCAGAUCUGUUAGUUAUUUUAAUCCAAUAUAAAAUAAUCCAUAAAAGUUUAUAUUUUGAGAUUAAUAUGUUUGCAAGUUAAACGAUGAAAACUUUUAUUGUUAAAAUUAACAGCAAAGUAGAUUUUUCAAUAUGGCAAUAUGUUUUUUAAUACAACACUUUUAAAUGUAGUAAAUACGUAACAAUUGGUACGUGUCUAUUGUCAGUUUAUCGUUUCAAAUCCUCCGUGUUAGUUUUCUCGACUCAUCACAAACUUUGUAAAAAUUUGGUUUUUAUGAAUAUAUAGGUUUAUAAAAUUUAUAUUUUGUUUGCAAACAUGAGUCGCUCAUACCAGUUAUCCCCCUGACUAUCAUAUUUUCUUCCAUUUAUUAGAUCGUAAUAACUUUCUGAUCUGUCGAGAUAUAAAAUGAAACAAAUUAAAAUUUGCGAACAUUGUUUUUGGCAUUUUCUAUUGUAUAAUAGCACGAAAUUUUUUCUGUAUGUUGGAUGUUUUUAUUAUAUUCUUAUGAAGAAUAUGUUUGAAAGCUCAAAGUUUAAACAUAGGAAGUACGUAUUGUAUAUGCAAAUUUUGAUUUUGGCUAAAUGUUUAUUCAUUCGAUACUUCAUAAGAAAAUAUUUCAGCAACUGUUGUGUUAUAUAAUAAUAAUAUUUAAAUUAAUGGAGUGUUGCUUUAUAUGACUACUCUGUUGUGAAAUCAUCAAGGAAUUAUUAUUUUUAAUAUUUAUAUAUAUGUAUACAUAUAUAUAUAUAUAUGUAUAAAGAGUUGAA
rnacentral:lncRNA from 1 species